GACGAACGCUGGCGGCGUGCUUAACACAUGCAAGUCGAACGGAAAGGCCCCUUUGGGGGUACUCGAGUGGCGAACGGGUGAGUAACACGUGAGUAACCUGCCCUUGACUUCGGGAUAACUUCAGGAAACUGGGGCUAAUACCGGAUAGGAAUCCUUGCUGCAUGGUGGGGGUUGGAAAGCUUCGGCGGUUUUGGAUGGACUCGCGGCUGAUCAGCUUGUUGGUGGGGUAGUGGCUUACCAAGGCUUUGACGGGUAGCCGGCCUGAGAGGGCGACCGGCCACAGUGGGACUGGGAUACGGCCCAGACUCCUACGGGAGGCAGAAGUGGGGAAGGUUGAACAAGGGGCGGAGGCCGGAUGCAGCAACGCCGCGGGCGGGAUGACGGCCUUCGGGUUGUAAUCCGCUUGCAGCAGGGGCGAAGCUUGUGGUGACGGUACCUGCAGAAGAAGCACCGGCUAACUACGUG
rnacentral:rRNA from 1 species